CCAAGGAGUCUAACAUGUGCGCGAGUCAUGGGGUUUUGUACGAAACCUAAAGGCGCAAUGAAAGUGAAGGUCAACCUCCGGUCGGCCUAGGUAGGAUCCCUCGUUUCUUUAAACGGCGGGGGCGCACUACCGGCCCGUCUCGACCACGUCGUUGGUGGGGCGGAGCAAGAGCGUACACGUUGGGACCCGAAAGAUGGUGAACUAUGCCUGAGUAGGACGAAGCCAGAGGAAACUCUGGUGGAGGUCCGUAGCGAUUCUGACGUGCAAAUCGAUCGUCAAACUUGGGUAUAGGGGCGAAAGACUAAUCGAACCAUCUA
rnacentral:rRNA from 1 species